AGGGCAUAAUGAGGACAUUUUCUAAGAAGUUCCUUAAAUCUUUCCCAUGUUUCAUAAAUAGAUCCAACAUUUAAUUGGGCAAAAUAAGUAACAUCAUUUCUAAGUUU